GUGACCUCAAAUCAGGUAGGACUACCCGCUGAACUUAAGCAUAUCAAUAAGCGGAGGAAAAGAAACUAACAAGGAUUCCCCUAGUAACUGCGAGUGAAGCGGGAAAAGCUCAAAUUUAAAAUCUGGCAGUCUUUGGCUGUCCGAGUUGUAAUCUAGAGAAGUGUUAUCCGCGCUGGACCGUGUACAAGUCUCCUGGAAUGGAGCGUCAUAGACACGGACUACCAUGGCUUUGUGAUGCGCUCUCAAAGA
rnacentral:rRNA from 1 species